CAGAGAUUUCUCUUACUUUUAUUUUGAAAUAUGAGCGCAUGCGCAUGUCCGAAAGUGCAGCUUCAGCGUGAUCAGAUUAAAUAUAUCUUUAUAUAUAUAUUAUUAUCAAGAGUUUGAUUAAUUAACCGAUCACUGCAGUUUCACUCAUUAAAGUUUUAUUUAUUUUGUGUGACUCCAGAUCUCGCGAGCGCACACAGUCUUGCGCUGCGCGGGCACGAUUCAAAAUAGAGAUCAAUAUUGAUGUGAGAUUUUACAGACUCUUGACAAUCUGUUGCUUUUAAUCCGGUUGAUCAACAGGAUGGUGUGUGAGCUGCUGCUGUCAUCUAUCUGGUUUCUCUUUGUGAUCUUCUGGUUGGAGACCAUCAGUGUUUGGCUCUUCUUGUGUUUGUACUAUCAGGACCGAGUUUACUAUAACUGGGGCUCCAGGGAGUUUACAGAUGAUCCAGGACAGUUCCUGUAUAUGCUGAGCAGGUGAUGGGGAUUGCUGCUGGUGGUGGUUGUUUUGGGAUGCUGGUGAAGUAAUGGUUAAAGAUCUGAAUUUCCUGGUUUACUUGGGUUACAUAUUUCUAAAAUGGUAUUAUUGAUGUAGAAUACUUUUGAAACAUGAAUUAUGUCCAUAUGUACGUCUGUUUGAAUUUCUAUGGCAUUUGAAGGGGAACACAAAAUCCAGGGCAGAACUGAAGGAAGUAGGGCUGGGGCGGACAUAACUAGGGACCUGGACCGACAGGGACCGACAGGAACGAGGUAACAAACCAGACCAGGACCGACCGGGACCGACAGGAACAGGGGUAACAAACCAGACCAGGACCGACCGGGACCGACAGGAACAGGGGUAACAAACCAGACCAGGACCGACCGGGACCGACAGGAACAGGGGUAACAAACCAGACCAGGACCGACCGGGACCGACAGGAACAGGGGUAACAAACCAGACUGACAUGAGACACGAAACAAGACGAACUGGCACUGGACCGCACACACGAGGAGACUAAAAUAGGGAGAAAUCAAACAGGUUAACAGACAGCGCAGGUGUGACUUAUAAACUAAUAAUGGGCAAACAAGGAGGCGGGUAUGACGCAAGACAGAGUGACAUGCGGCGACACCGAAACAAUAACAAACCUGCGUGCUCUCACAAGACAACAAAACGCCUGAAUGGCAUGAGCGCUCACAAUUAGACAAUAUACGCUCAUGCCAACUGACAAACAAGACGAGAGAAUGUGUAGCAACGCCAAACAAAACGACGCCAUGCAUUCUCACAAGACAACAAAUUACCCGAAUGGCAUGAGCGCUCACAAUUAGACAAUAGACGCUCAUGCCAACUGACAAGACCCAGACACACGUUCCGAACAUGAAACCACAACCGCACCCGUGUGCUCACAAAGAGACAGACAACGAACAUGGGACGAUGAUGUCACGGUCCUGCCACACAAAAACAACACUAUCAAUGCAUUAAAAUGAGGUGAAUCAUCCAAUCGGGCGUGUUACGCGGGGCAUGUGCGGUGCGGUUGAUUAGUAAUGAGUGCCAGCUGUUGGCGUGAAUGCGUUUGGGUUGUUUUCGUUUGUUUAUAAUACAAUAUUUCUGACGCUGAGGUUUCUGGUCUCCUGGUACAGAAUUGAUCUCGCUGCACAUGUGCAAACCUGAGGAAGUGAUGUCAUCACGUUGGAGAGUCGUGCAAAGACUAAAGGGAAAGAAGGCUUGAUCAGAAGGGUCAUCAGUGAUGUCAUCAUCUCAUGAAGCGAGGGAGAGCCAAUCAGAGUCUGUGAUGACACGUGGAUUAAAGAGUCUGUAGAAACUGCCUUUAGAGAUUCUGCUGUCCGUAUAGAUCACUGUCACAUCUAUACAGCAGCUUCAGUUGCACCUGUAAUAAAGAUAUAGACAUGUCGACACGUGUGUAAACUCUCACGGAGAUACAUGAUUAUAAAACAAACUGAAUGUUACGUUUAUUAAGAGGGCAACAUAAUGAAAUAUUUCACUCAUAAGAUUAUGAAUUGUUUAAAGAGUGUUGCAUCUAAUAAAUGACAAAUAAAAAUAACCUCCACCCAGAAACUCUGCAUGUGAUUCUGUGGAAAUAACAACAUGAUGCGUCAAUACACAUUCACUCAAUCAUUUGAUUCUCAGUCUUUGCUGUUCAUUGGUUCCCUUUGUGACCUCUGAGAACCUCAUAUUCAAAAAAAAAAAAUAUACGAAUAUGGGCGUGGGUAGCUCAGCGUGUUUGAAUCCAGGGCGUGUUGAGUGACUCCAGUCAGGUCUCCAUAGCAACCAAAUUGGCCCGGUUGCUAGGGAGGGUUACAUGGUCACAUGGGGUAACAUCCUCGUGGUCACUAUAAUGUUGUUCUUGCUUUCAAUGGGGCGUGGUGAUACUCAAACGGCUCCUUGCUAGCCUGAGUCAAAUGAGCCUACCAGGAAGUGUCUAUGAUGUUUUGGUGUGCAAAUAUGGGUUUUGCAAUAUGGUUGCUAGGCAGUUGCCAGAGUGAUACUACAGGCUGCUUGCUGGCCUGAGUCAUACAGGUCAUCGAUGAAGUCUCUACGACAUUCUGAUCAGGAGAUAACAAUCUAAACCCUUUUGAAUUGAAGCCAAUGUGGUUUGGUAGCUAGGGUGGUCUAAAUGGUUGCUAGGGCGUGGUUAAAUGGAUUCCAAGUGGAUACAUGAUACAUCUUGCUCACCCAAGUAAAACAAGCCAACUCUCUUGUCUCUAGGACAUUCUGAUCUGAGGAUGUCCCUCUCAGCCAUUUUGAAUGGAAGCCUAUGGUUGCUAGGGUUAGGGUGACCACCUCCAGUCAGACAAAAUGUGGGACAAGUAGCAUGGUAAAGUGGGACAAUGUGGGACAGACGUAAUAACUUUAAACUUAAGAUAUAUUGUCUAUCUAAUUUACCCAGAAAAAUUUUUUUAAACCCAUUUUAAACUAAAUAAUUGUCAAUUAUGCACAACAUGAGCCAUACAAUUAGCCUUGAUAAUGUCAGCAUUAUCUGCUUUCAGCUUCUGAUAUACAGAUUUGAACUUUCCAUAAUUUACACUAGCGUUAUCAGCAGUGUAAGCAGAGAUCAUUUCCAGUCUAAGGCCAUUCUCUUUCAGUUUGUUAGUAAUCUGGCGGUGAAUUGAUUCUGACGUCUCUGCGCUAUCCUCGUAAAAAUCAACAACUCUAUUCUUUAA